UACGUAGGGUGCAAGCGUUGUCCGGAAUUAUUGGGCGUAAAGAGCGUGUAGGCGGCUUGGAAGGUCCGUUGUGAAAACUCGAGGCUCAACCUCGAGACGCCGAUGGAAACCACCUAGCUAGAGUCCGGAAGAGGAGAGUGGAAUUCCUGGUGUAGCGGUGAAAUGACGCAGAUAUCAGGAAGAACACCCGUGGCUAAGGCGGCUCUCUAGUACGGUACUGACGCUGAGACGCGAAAGCGUGGGGAGCGAACAGG
rnacentral:rRNA from 1 species